rnacentral:misc_RNA from 1 species
GAUGAAGAACGUAGCGAAAUGCGAUAAGUAGUGUGAAUUGCAGAAUUCAGUGAAUCAUCGAAUCUUUGAACGCACAUUGCGCCCCUUGGUAUUCCAUGGGGCAUGCCUGUUCGAGCGUCAUUUGUACCUUCAAGCUCUGCUUGGUGUUGGGUGUUUGUCUCGCCUCUGCGUGUAGACUCGCCUCAAAACAAUUGGCAGCCGGUGUAUUGAUUUCGGAGCGCAGUACAUCUCGCGCUUUGCACUCAUAACGACGACGUCCAAAAGUACAUUUUUACACUCUUGACCUCGGAUCAGGUAGGGAUACCCGCUGAACUUAAGCAUAUCAAUAAGCGGAAGA